ensembl:snRNA U6 U6 spliceosomal RNA
GUGUUCGCUUCAGCAGCACAUAUACUAAAAUUGGAACGAUACUGAGACUAGCAUGGUCCCUGUGCAAGGAUGACACGCAAAUGCAUGAAGUGUUCCUUACUUUU